AUCCAGAUAACGAGUCCUGAAUAGGGCGAGAUGCGCAUCCUGGAU
rfam:Trichobilharzia regenti genome assembly, scaffold: TRE_scaffold0020650